CAGUAAAGUGUAGACUAUGUGUAAUGCAAAAAGGCAAAAAGGAUGAGGCUGCCGCCAGCAUGGAGGCCAGAGCUAAGCCCAGUGGAUCAGAGCAGAC